AAAAACAAAUGCCAAACAAAUGCCCAGUGUCAAUAGGAAUUCGGUAGAAAACGCGUUUUUACUCACUGAAUGAGGAAUUGCUGUCUUAAAGUAUGUUACAAUAAGUUUUUCUUUCGAAAACAAGAUACCAAGUAUCAAACAUAAGCGUGAAAGAUUACAGUUAAAACAAUGAGUGCAAUAAUUGAGGAAGCUUGACAGAAACAAGAGGCUUACUUUAGGGGCAAAGAAGUUUUAGAAGGUUUUUUAUCACUCUAUGCAGGAAGCUUCAAGAAGAAGGCGUUUUUCUUUAGUUUUCGAUGGCAUAUGCGAUAUGCUUGAAUAUCCGUAGGAGGCGGCGAAAUUCCAUUAUAUUACAUUGACUACAAAGGAGUACAGUGAGCUGAAAAGUGUGUGUUAUUAUGUAAGCUGCUUUUCGGCGUUGUCAUCACAGAUUGGUGAUUACCGCAAACGGUAAUUUUACGAACAAAAAAGAUCAAAUUACAUUGUGCUGAUUAAUUGCUCCUUCAACUUGUGUAUUUUAAACUUAAUACUUCUUGGCUUAAAUGUAAAGUUUUUUAAUUCUCGUUGUUCUAAAAUUGCAUACUGCGUUUAUCAUAAACCUUUCAAGUUUCCCUGAAAUUGUUUCUGUUAUCCUGAAACAAUACGAUAUUCUUAUAUGAAAAAGGUAUGAGUUGAUUUAAACAAGAUAAUACGACUUUAUAAUUUCAGGGUUAUUGUUCGCUCAUUUCACUUACACGUUUGAUGGGGUUUCUACUGCAAUGCUGCAGUCCCGUUGUGGGCAACUUGAUUGCGCGGUAAUACGAAAAGUAGGAUUUUAAAUUGUUACAAGGGACAAUCUGGUUGGGAUAAGAUUUUUUAUAAGUCGCGGUACUUAUUUUGUCUAGUAAACAAAACCGUCCUCUUAUGUGCAACUUCAGCAGAAUUUACUAACCAAUUCUAUUCAUCCUUACAAGAAAAUAAUUAAUUUGCACCAAUUUGAACCUGGUUCAAUAUGUGUAGGCCGGAAAUGAAUUUAAUUAUGCUGCAUUGGAUUCUUACAAAUACACUUCAAAAAUAUUGAUGAAAUUAAACAAAACUAUGCUUAAAGAUACUGUAUUUUGUCUGGUAUAUGAUUUGGGGGUCUUUAAAAAAUUGCCUUCCAUAUCAAUGAUAAGCGUCUUAGCUGCCACACCUCAACAACACAUCUCUAAAAAUUGGCAUUUCCUCUGUUGUUUGAGUUUUGUGAAAUUAUUCUUUAAAUAUUUUUAAUAAAUUC